CCUACGGGAGGCAGCAGUGAGGAAUAUUGGUCAAUGGGCUUACGCCUGAACCAGCCAAGUCGCGUGAGGGAAGACUGCCCUAUGGGUUGUAAACCUCUUUUGUCAGGGAGCAAUUGGCGCUACGUGUAGCGUUAUCGAGAGUACCUGAAGAAAAAGCAUCGGCUAACUCCGUGCCAGCAGCCGCGGUAAUACGGAGGAUGCGAGCGUUAUCCGGAUGUAUUGGGUUUAAAGGGGGCGUAGGCGGAAUGCCAAGUCAGCGGUGAAAGUCUGUGGCUCAACCAUAGAAGUGCCGUUGAAACUGGGGGUCUUGAGUAUGUUUGAGGCAGGCGGAAUGCGUGGUGUAGCGGUGAAAUGCAUAGAUAUCACGCAGAACCCCGAUUGCGAAGGCAGCCUGCCAAGCCAUGACUGACGCUGAUGCACGAAAGCGUGGGGAUCAAACAGGAUUAGAUACCCCUGUAGUC
rnacentral:rRNA from 1 species